rnacentral:rRNA from 1 species
AAAACGACUUUCGGCAACGGAUAUUUAGGCUCUGGCAUGGAKGAAGAAGGAAGGGAAAUGCGAUACUUGGUGUGAAUUGCAGAAUCCCGGGAAUCAUGGAGUUUUUGAACCCAAGUUGCGCCGGAACCCAUUCGGCGGAGGGCACUUCUCCCUGGGUGUCAGGC